UACCUAUCCAGAGCGGCCGAGAGACCUGGCUCGACGACGCCGCAGCAACCACCCCCACCGCCCUCGUGCGACGGUUCGGGAACGGUGCUCCCGCCAGGACCGAUGGAUA
rnacentral:ncRNA from 2 species